rnacentral:rRNA from 1 species
UACGUAGGGUGCGAGCGUUGUCCGGGAUUUAUUGGGCGUAAAGAGCUCGUAGGCGGUUUGUCGCGUCGGCCUGAAAUCUCCACGCUUAACGUGGAGCGUGCGGUCGAUACGGGCAGACUUGAGUUCGGUAGGGGAGAUGGAAUUCCUGGUGUAGCGGUGAAAUGCGCAGAUAUCAGGAGGAACACCGGUGGCGAAGGCGGGUCUC